rnacentral:misc_RNA from 1 species
GUUUGGCGCCCGAUUUUAUUGCAGUAGAGAAGUGUUCAAGUGACUUUGAUGAUCAACAGCGAAUUUCUGGUGAUUCUGUUAAUGAGCAAGCUUGUUCUCCAGUUUCUUUGCCAAAGGAGGAUGGGCAAGUGUUUGCGGGUGGGUUGUCUCUGGUGUCUAUAGGAAGGAGUCAGCAAGUUAAUGCCAGCCAGAUGAAGCAGGAGGACCAAAUCAUGGAAAAUGAUGAUGACUUAUAUGAUUCUUCCAAACAAUUGACUAUUGAUAAUGCUGCUACCUCAUUGCGCAAAUGCAGUUUGGUUUUCCAUCAGAGUGAACUGGCUGAUGAGAAUUGUGAAGGUG